rnacentral:rRNA from 1 species
UGGGGAAUAUUGGACAAUGGGCGCNCGNCUGAUCCAGCCAUACCGCGUGGGUGAAGAAGGCCUUCGGGUUGUAAAGCCCUUUUGUUGGGAAAGAAAAGCAGUCGAUUAAUACUCGGUUGUUCUGACGGUACCCAAAGAAUAAGCACCGGCUAACUUCGUGCCAGCAGCCGCGGUAAUACGAAGGGUGCAAGCGUUACUCGGAAUUACUGGGCGUAAAGCGUGCGUAGGUGGUUGUUUAAGUCUGUUGUGAAAGCCCUGGGCUCAACCUGGGAAUUGCAGUGGAUACUGGGCGACUAGGGUGUGGUAGAGGGUAGUGGAAUUCCCGGUGUAGCAGUGAAAUGCGUAGAGAUCGGGAGAAACAUCCAUGGCGAAGGCAGCUACCUGGACCAACACUGACACUGAGGCACGAAAGCGUGGGGAGCAAACAGGAUUAGAUACCCUGGUAGUCCACGCCCUAAACGAUGCGAACUGGAUGUUGGGUGCAAUUUGGCACGCAGUAUCGAAGCUAACGCGUUAAGUUCGCCGCCUGGGGAGUACGGUCGCAAGACUG